AUGCUAACCCCAACUGAUCCUGCUAUUUUAGAGUUCAAAGAUAACACAACACAAUGGCGGAGGGGGAAUUCAAAACAGAGAAACAUUUACCUAACAAAACAGCUAGCGCCACACAGGACUCUCUACAGGACUCCUCAAAAGUCUUUAAGCCUGCAAGCUGUACGGAAGAAUACCAACCACUUCCAAGAGCCACACACUUGUCGUCACUGCUCACAACUCUUUCUCCAAAGUCCCCAAAAGAAAAACGGAGGGUGACCUUUCUCGAGGACUACAUAAACAUCCAGACUUCACACAAAGACUUGUGUAUAGAUAGCACCAGUCUAGUGGAGGA